AUUGAACGCUGGCGGCAUGCUUUACACAUGCAAGUCGAACGGCAGCGCGGGGCAACCUGGCGGCGAGUGGCGAACGGGUGAGUAAUAUAUCGGAACGUACCCAGAAGUGGGGGAUAACGUAGCGAAAGUUACGCUAAUACCGCAUACGAUCUACGGAUGAAAGUAGGGGACCGCAAGGCCUUAUGCUUUUGGAGCGGCCGAUAUCUGAUUAGCUAGUUGGUGAGGUAAAGGCUCACCAAGGCGACGAUCAGUAGCUGGUCUGAGAGGACGACCAGCCACACGGGAACUGAGACACGGUCCAGACUCCUACGGGAGGCAGCAGUGGGGAAUUUUGGACAAUGGGCGCAAGCCUGAUCCAGCAAUGCCGCGUGAGUGAAGAAGGCCUUCGGGUUGUAAAGCUCUUUUGUCAGGGAAGAAACGGUAGAGGCUAAUAUCCUUUGCUAAUGACGGUACCUGAAGAAUAAGCACCGGCUAACUACGUG
rnacentral:rRNA from 1 species